AUGAUAUGAAGCAAUUUUUCAAUUUAUUCAUCUAUCAUAUUUCAUAUUCGUUCCUAAUUUUGGUUAAUGCUUACUCUAUCCUGAUUUUAUAAAUUCUAAUAUAUUUUGUACACGAUAGAUGGGCUUGGGUAGAACUCAUUUCCAAAAGCUAGUUCGAAGGAAGAGGGUGUCCAUAGCAACCCAGUAACUUAGAGACGUAGGACAAAUACAAAUAAAACUACGACUUCUAAUACCCUCCCUCAUGCUUAGAGUGACCUGCAAAUGAGCUGGGGUCUAAACCCAUCAUCGCAGACAAAAGUCUAGAGUUGAUGACAGACGAGCUUGGUAGAACUCAUUCCUAAAAGGUAGCUCAAAGGAAUAGGGUGGCCAAUCUACAUAUAUACUAUAGUGGCCCAAUAACUUAGCGAUGUGGGAUAAAUACAAACAAAUACAACUUCUAACAGUAUUUUACUUGCUAUAAGGUGCAGGCAUUAUCAACAAAUACUUGCAAUUAUUUCAUUAUAUAAUCUUUCAUUUGUUGACUCAUUGUAUUAUUCUUUACUUAUUUUCUGAAUUUUCAUCAAUAAGCUAAUAUUGGUUGAGAAACAUUUUCAUAGUUUUUCUUUCCAGUUUCUAAGUGCUUUCAAUUCAUUACUUAUUAAUCUUCUACAUUUAUACUCACCCCUUUUGUUUUCU
rnacentral:lncRNA from 1 species